UCAAACCACAUGAGAUCUCUG
rnacentral:misc_RNA from 1 species